rnacentral:rRNA from 1 species
GACGAACGCUGGCGGCGUGCUUAACACAUGCAAGUCGAACGAUGAAGUCGGAGCUUGCUCUGGUGAAUUAGUGGCGAACGGGUGAGCAACACGUGAGUAACCUGCUCUUGACUCUGGGAUAACUGCUAGAAAUGGUAGCUAAUACCGGAUACGACCCUCGGAGGCAUCUCCAGGGGGUGGAAAGAAUUUCGGUCAAGGAUGGACUCGCGGCCUAUCAGCUAGUUGGUGAGGUAACGGCUCACCAAGGCGACGACGGGUAGCCGGCCUGAGAGGGUGACCAGCCAGACUGGGACUGAGACACGGCCCAGACUCCUACGGGAGGCAGCAGUGAGGAAUUUUCCGCAAUGGGCGAAAGCCUGACGGAGCGACGCCGCGUGGAGGAUGAAGCUUUUCGGAGCGUAAACUUCUUUUAUGUGGGAAGAUUAUGACUGUACCACAUGAAUAAGGACCGGCUAACUACGUGCCAGCCGCCGCUGUAA